rnacentral:tRNA from 1 species
CAGACCGGGACUGGGGCGUCGCCACCCACAAGUCGUGACCUUUUGGGUCACGCAGUCCGCGUUCGAUCGACCCAUCGUCGGCCGAUCGGGCACCUUUGAACUGUCGAGGCUACCACCUAGUUCCCUCUCGCGGUCGAAGCCGCGAGAGGUGUGGGCCCAUAGCUCAGUGGGAGAGUGCCUCCUUUGCAAGGAGGAUGCCCUGGGUUCGAAUCCCAGUGGGUCCAUGACUCGGAGUGAAUCGCCAAUCGUGUCCCUUAAGUGGGAGACGACACUCGAUUCAAUCCGACCGCAACCGAUGCACCACCCCGUGCAAACGCGGGUGGGAAGGGUUAAUGCACGCUGCAGUCGACAGCGAUGCAGAUGAGACCGUGUGUACGUGUAGUCCAGGCGUCCACUGGAUCCGUUCCCGGGUCACUCUACGUGGCAUCUUCGGAUGUCACGCCGAUCCGAUGAA